rnacentral:lncRNA from 1 species
CUUGAUUCAUUUUUUUUAUUAAUUAAUAUUUUUAUAACUUCGACAUUAAAGACAAAAUAAAUCUUUUUAUUAUAAAGAUAAAAUUUAAAUAAAUUUUUUAUAAAGAUUAAAACUAUAAACUAUUUAUUUAUAUAGGACCAAAAAAGUUAAAUGAAUAUAUAGGAUGUAUCGGAGUGGCAGAUGAGUGUGCAAAGAUGGAGCGAAGAGGCACGGGAUUAUAUUCUCCCAACUCAAAAAGUUUUGAUACAAACAUAUGAAGAGGUAACAUGAGUUUGAUUAACAUGAAAAGGUGCAAUCUAACUUGGCAUAAAUAACUGUAGUACAAUUCAAACCCCAUAUAAUUUUUUUUUUAUCUCUUCUAUAACUAUUUAGAUGUAGAAUAAUUUAUAUAAUUUUUGUUGGGUGCUACAUAAGUUAGCAUCAGGCCAGCCGUGUCUAAAACUAAUUUUAAUAUCUCUUUAGAAGUUAUGAAAAAAAUUUAUUUAAAUGUACACCUUAAAAUAAAAAA